rnacentral:rRNA from 1 species
GAUGAACGCUGGCGGCGUGCUUAACACAUGCAAGUCGAACGGAAAGGCCCAAGCUUGCUUGGGUACUCGAGUGGCGAACGGGUGAGUAACACGUGGGUGAUCUGCCCUGCACUUCGGGAUAAGCCUGGGAAACUGGGUCUAAUACUGGAUAGGACCACUUCUUGGAUGUUGUGGGGGAAAGUUUUUUCGGUGUGGGAUGAGCUCGCGGCCUAUCAGCUUGUUGGUGGGGUAAUGGCCUACCAAGGCGUCGACGGGUAGCCGGCCUGAGAGGGUGUACGGCCACAGUGGGACUGAGAUACGGCCCAGACUCCUACGGGAGGCAGCAGUGGGGAAUAUUGCACAAUGGGCGCAAGCCUGAUGCAGCGACGCCGCGUGGGGGAUGACGGCCUUCGGGUUGUAAACUCCUUUCGCUAGGGACGAAGCGUUUUGUGACGGUACCUGGAGAAGAAGCACCGGCUAACUACGUG